rnacentral:rRNA from 1 species
UACGUAGGGGGCAAGCGUUGUCCGGAUUUAUUGGGCGUAAAGCGCGUGUAGGCGGUCCGGUAAGUCCGCUGUGAAAGUCGAGGGCUCAACCCUCGAAUGCCGGUGGAUACUGUCGGGCUUGAGUACGGGAGAGGCGAGUGGAAUUCCUGGCGUAGCGGUGAAAUGCGCAGAUAUCAGGAGGAACACCGAUUGCGAAGGCAGCUCGCUGGGACGGUACUGACGCUGAGGCGCGAAAGCGUGGGGAGCAAACAGG